rnacentral:lncRNA from 1 species
GGUGCUGAUCGCGGUUUCCCUGGUGGCACCGCUGGCUGAGGCGGGAAUCACAUGCGGCACGGUUGUGAGUAGCCUGAGACCAUGCCUCCGCUAUGUGCAGGGUAGCAGUCCUACAGUGCCGGAUGGCUGCUGCAGUGGAAUUAAUUCUCUCUACAACUCAGCCAAAACCACUCCGGACCGUCAGUCUGUGUGCUCCUGCCUGAAAUCUCUCGCUGGAUCUUACAAGGGUAUCGACUAUGGCAAGGCCGGUGGCCUCCCUGGAAAAUGUGGUGUCAAUAUCCCCUACAAGAUCGCCCCUUCCACUGAUUGCUCCAAGUAUUUUUCUCUCUUCUUAUAUUUAAGUUCAACCAUUUCAUUUAAAAAACUUAAAAUUUUUAAUUCAUACUUGUUACAUUACAUGGUACUUGACACAACUUCACAGUAAUAUAAAUAAGAUUUUAACUUCUUUUUCUUAUUUAAUAAAUUCAAAUAUUGAUGUUCAACCAAAAAAAUAAAAAAAUAAAAAAAAAUUAAGAGAAAAAUAACUUCAAGUUCUGUCUAACUAGACAAUUAUUUAUUUGUAAACAUGUUUCUUUCAAAUUUAGCUUAAAAUGUUUAUUCGUGUUAUGGGACUUGUGGUGCAGGGUGCAGUAAUUUCAUCGCGAAUGCAGUUUUCUGCAGCAGCUUAUAUAUGAUAUGUACGUUUAUGAACUAUAUGAAUGAAUAAAGAGAGUUUUUGUAUUGUCUGCAGAAUGGACUCUCUUUCUGCAUUAUUAAUCCGAUUAUGAGUAUUUUAUCUCAAUUUAGAUAUCCCUUGUUUUCAUCAAAUAAAAUUCCACCAUCCUAAAGCUAAUAUCGAUGAAGACCUAGUAAAAUUUACGUGGUGCAUUGUGAAAUGAUUUAAAAUUACUAAGAACUUGGUCAGAGACCUCAAGACCAAUGGCGGAGUCACAGGUGCUUGAAUACCAUAUAUGAUACAUAGCAUUAUACUUAUGGAGCCAAUACAUUCUUAUUGAGAAAAUACAACAUUUUCGAAGCAUAAAAAUAGAACUCACCCGUCACUAUUUAAUUUACGUGUGUAUGUUUGAGUUACAAUUAAAGAGUGAUUAUCAGUUAUUUAAUAUACAUAUGGAUUAAAUAGUGACAGUGAGUAUUGAAUACUCCGUGCUCUUGAUCGUAUACAAAAAUGUGAUAAAUGGACCUUCUAAGAGUUGUACACAUGUGAAAUAAAACAAAAUUAGAAAACAACCAACUAAUUAGUAUUCAAAAAAAAAAAAAAGAAGAAGAAGAAAAAAGAAGGCAUAAUCCGUUUACCAGAUUAAAAAGGAAUUUUGAGAUAUCAACCUUAUUAAUAAAACUAGUUCAAAUCCUUUCCCUUAGUAUCCUCCGUCAAGCCACACUUCUUAUUGGUGCACUCACUAAUUAUAGGGUUGAUUGAAAUCCAAGCACCAUGGAAAGGUAAGACUAAAGUCACACGAGCUCAAUAUCAUAUAUAACCCAACUAAAUUAAUUGAUGUGAUAUAAUCUUUAAUCGAUGAGAGAUUUUGACUUAAUAAUCUUUACAUUCUGUCAUGAACGAAUAUAACAUCUCAUAUCAUAUCUUGAGUGACAUAGCAUGGCUUAAGUCACAAAUUUGAACUGUGCUAUUAUCAAAAUGUUAUACUUGAAUAGUUUUAAUUCAUAUUUCAAUUUUCUAUUUUAAUAAAAAUUCUUAGGUUAGAACCAUAUUGGCCAUAGAUCCCAUUCAAUAUUGUGUACCAAUUAUAUCAUUUUUUAAAGGCCAAUUGGAUUUGUGAAAGUCUUCAUUCAGACAAGUAUUUGAACCCAGUUACAGUCACUUGGGUCAGGCAAAUGGCAUCAUUAUUUGGGUGCGUUUGAAUAGUACAUUGAACUUAACAUAUAUAAUUAUAAUUAGAUAGGGUAAGUGACAAAUUUUUUAUGCUUAUGUAGCCUAACGGGAUCUUGCAAACUGUCCACAAGUUUUGCGUAGAUAAGCUCAUGAGGCACAUAGACAAAUCUUCACCUUGAGAAAGUUGUGGGCAAUAUUUGAGUUUAGGCCGUGCCUUAAAGUAUGUUUAUAGGGCAGCACCUAAUAAAUUAGAUUAAAAUUUAAUGCAUUCUCUCUCUCCUCAUUUUAAUAACAUUUUUCAAUAAAAUAAUAUUCACGUAAACUCAAAAAUUUUCUUUCUUUUUUAAACACACAUUCUUAAAAAGAAAAAAAGAAAAAAAGAACUAUGCCAAAGUACUUAUCCCCAUAAACUCGAGAAAUACCUGAUUAUGGUAUCACUGUCUUAUAAGGAGCUGCCGCAUCAUUGAAUGACCCAAUCCCUCUUUACACCUCGGGUUUUGAGAUGAUCCCAUCUUAUUAGGUGAGACAAUGCCGUCGAUGAGAUGGCAGCUUCUCAUAGGACAGUUGCACCAAUAUGACCGUCCUACCCUAGUAGUUCUCCAUAAACUCAUUGUAAUGGAUCCCCAAAUAGGGCUUAAUCAUGCAGCGGUGCAUUCAUACUAUGUGUGCACACUUGUCUUGAAAACAUUCUACCGUUAUAGCUGGUGGAAAAUGAAAUGGAUUUUGCAACUUUGACAGAAAAAUGUAACAGAUGUAGUGAUAUAAUCCCAAUUGGCAACAGAUGAUUUGUUGGGGAUGUUGACUGAGCUUAAAACAAUCCAAUGAUGAGAUGUCAUGUGACAUUAUAUUAAGAAUUGUGUUAACUAUUAGCACGAUUGGAGUGAAAUUGUGGCCACUUUUACAUUUUGUUUGAAAAUUGGUACGAAUUCUUGAAAUGGCCAGCAUUAAAUUGAACCCAACUAUAACACCCACGCCCUGAACCAAUCAGAAAUUGUGUCAGAGGCCUCCCCCAACACUUGGGGAUAUCCUCUAUAUAAACACAACAAUGGCAAGGUUUUAUCCACACAAAUCAAAUUGUUCCCAAGUGCUGGAAAGAAAUUAAUACACUUGAUUUGCCUGGUGUUAUAAACCAGAUAAGUUUUCAUCUGCAAUUGCGUCUUCAAUUGUUAAGGCAACAUGCUUGGUCCUAAUCGCGGCGGUCCUCAUGGCGCCACUCUCUGAGGCUUAGAGCCGAUGUAGUAAAUGGCUUCGUAUAGGGAGAAAGCAGGGUAGUAGCAAUGCGCAAUGUGUUCCCGGCCCGCUGCAGUGCCCGAGCCGCCGGUCUUUCUGGAAAAUGUUUCGGCAUAUCUGAUAUAAUAUCUUCCCUUCCACUGACUGCUCAAAGUAAAUACAUAUAUCUUUUUUCUACGUUUCUUCACAAGUUCGUUUCACAUUUAGCUUUGAAAAGCUGUAAUUAUACUUCGAGUCUUGUGUUGCAGGGUUCAGUAAAUUCAUCGAUGGAGCGGAUUUUCCUGUAGCGCCCUAUAUAUCAUGUACGAUAUAUAUGUUUAUAUACUAUAUGAAUGAAUAAGGAUACUUAGAAUAGAGGGAAAACCUGGGGUUUUUCUUUGCGCUGUAAUUUUACAUUAUUGUCUGUAAUCCAAUUAAUUACGAUUAUGCAUUAUAAUUUGGUUCUAGCGUUCACUAUAAACCAUUUGUUACAUUCUUGUACCAAGUUGUGGAGUAAAAUUAUUGCGGUUGUAUGAGAAUAUAAUUUCAUAUUGAGACGAACUUUUAAAAAGUUUGCAUGUUCUUGUGUCUAUUUUGUUAUUGCAAUUUUAUUAUUCUUGGAGGUAUAAAAUUAGAUUUUCUAAUUCUCAACGUACUAACCGUUUCAUUAUGUGUUGCCCCUACAAAUGGGUACCUCUAAUGAAGAUGAAUAAAAACUAUUGAUUUCUUUAGAGCANNNNNNNNNNNNNNNNNNNNNNNNNNNNNNNNNNNNNNNNNNNNNNNNNNNNNNNNNNNNNNNNNNNNNNNNNNNNNNNNNNNNNNNNNNNNNNNNNNNNNNNNNNNNNNNNNNNNNNNNNNNNNNNNNNNNNNNNNNNNNNNNNNNNNNNNNNNNNNNNNNNNNNNNNNNNNNNNNNNNNNNNNNNNNNNNNNNNNNNNNNNNNNNNNNNNNNNNNNNNNNNNNNNNNNNNNNNNNNNNNNNNNNNNNNNNNNNNNNNNNNNNNNNNNNNNNNNNNNNNNNNNNNNNNNNNNNNNNNNNNNNNNNNNNNNNNNNNNNNNNNNNNNNNNNNNNNNNNNNNNNNNNNNNNNNNNNNNNNNNNNNNNNNNNNNNNNNNNNNNNNNNNNNNNNNNNNNNNNNNNNNNNNNNNNNNNNNNNNNNNNNNNNNNNNNNNNNNNNNNNNNNNNNNNNNNNNNNNNNNNNNNNNNNNNNNNNNNNNNNNNNNNNNNNNNNNNNNNNNNNNNNNNNNNNNNNNNNNNNNNNNNNNNNNNNNNNNNNNNNNNNNNNNNNNNNNNNNNNNNNNNNNNNNNNNNNNNNNNNNNNNNNNNNNNNNNNNNNNNNNNNNNNNNNNNNNNNNNNNNNNNNNNNNNNNNNAAGAAAUUAAAAAACUUGAUCUCCCUUUUAUGAAAACAAAUAUUAUCUUCUGCAUUGGCUUCCGCUGGAAUUGGGAAGGCAAUAUUUGUGGUGCUGAUCGCGGUGGCUGCACUAACCAAUCUCGUGCUGCUUGGCUUUGAAUAGCCUAAGACUAUGCCUCCCCAAUAUGCAGGGUGGCGAACGGUGCUGGCCGCUACCAUGCAGUGAUUAAGUCUAUGUUUGAUUUUGUUAAAAAUUAAAUUUUUAGUCGAUAUUGACAAAAAUUAUGAUAAACUGAAAUUAAUUAUAAUUUAAUAGUUAAAAUAUGUGUCGAAAUAUAUUUAAAAUAAGACAUAAAUAUAUAUGUUACUGAAUUGUAAAUUUGGACUUGAGCGCGUUUGGAGUCACUUAUUUUUUAUCCAUUAAUUCCAUAGAAUUCAUAAUGUACAAUCACUGAAAUUUUAAUUUAGUCACUAACCAAACAUGUUAAUUACUAGGAAACCCACGUUUUGUCCCCUAUGUAGUGAGGCUUCUAUUUUUGUUUCUGAUUUUUAUAAUUUUUAUAGAAUAGUUUUUUGAAAAAGUUAUCUUAAGUCAACUCCCUCUAAAAACUCUCCUAGCUAACCAAGACAUUUGAAAAAAUAUAUAUAUUCAAACAAUUUCAAAAUCAAUUUCUUAAUCUCAGAAACAUUUUUUUACUUUUCAUAGUCUAUAUUUGAGUCAUGUUUAUAAACUACUAAGAAACACUCAAAUUAUUUUUAUUUAUACAUUUAGAGAAAUUCCCAAGUGCUACUAAUCCACUAUUCAUUUGUAUUUAUAUAGUUUAAAUCGUUUAUAAACACAUCUCAAACAUACUUCUUUGUAGAUAGAGAUAUGUGCCAAUUAAAAGACAGGCUUGUCGGGUGAUUACUGGUCUAAAAUAUAUUAUAUUAUAUUUUUUCUUUGUUUAAUUAAUUUCGAAUCCAAAGACUCAUGGCUCGUAAUGUUUUUUCACCAACUCCUGGCUCAUAGAUUGUACCAAAUUAAAAUUAUAGGCUUAAAAACCGAAUUAAGAAAGAGACGUGUGCCAAAAAUAAAAAUGUAAAGGAAAAUAGCUUACUUGUAUCUAACAAUCACUACAACAAAAAUACCUUUUUGCAACAUGCAAAAGACAACAUUCACCAAUUAAAUGUUGCUAAAAGGGUCUAUUGCAACAUUUUAAUAAGUGAAUGUUGCCAUUAGUGUUAACAAUUGAGAUUUGACAAUAUUUUUAAGUGAAUGUUGAUAAUAUUUCCUUUUUGCAACGUUUAUUUAGUGUUGCGAAAAGCUUUAUUUUUCGCAACAUUUAUAAAACGUUGUAAAAAGGUUUCUUUUUUCGCAAUGUUCGUAAAACUUGCAAAAACAUUUAUCUUUCACAAUGUUCGUAAAACGUUACAAAAGGCUAUCUCUUUCGCAACAUUUAUAAAAUGUUGCAAAAAUGUUUCUCUUUCUCAACGUCUUCAAAACAUUGCAAAAAGUUUUCUCUUUCGCAACGUUUAUAAAAUAUUGCCAAAAGAUUUCUCUUCAACAACAUUUAAAAAACGUGGCAGAAGGCUCCCCAACCUAGGUCCCAUUUUUUUUUUUUUUUGUGGUAAUUACACAAAUCCAUAGUUUAUCUAUUCAUAGUUCCCAAAUAAGAGUGAAAGUUUAAUAUUUCACUAAUCAGAUUUUUUUUUUCAUUUCCUAAUUAAUUUAAAAUUAUUUAAUAACUGUCUCUCCCUAAAGUCACGUAAUUCAAAUUUUAGAAACUGUAUUUUUUUUUUAAAAACUCCUUACAUGUCCUUUCCAUAAAAUCGUCAUUUCCAUAAAACCCACGUCCCUCACGUAUCCCAUUUUUCGAUUAAAUCGGUGUUCAUCCAACCCUUUUUGGGACAUUCAUCACUGUCGUUCUCCGGCGAUUCCCGACGACCUUCUUCCACUGUCGACCACAUAUAUUUUUUACAUUCCUUCCCAGAAAAGUGGUCACAGUUUAACCGAAGUCUUCUAAAACUUCAAGGAUGACUCGUUCAGGAAGUGGGAAACGUGGGGAGAAAAUUGGAAUCCACGAGUCAGGAAGAAGAGGUAAAAGAAAGUUGGAUGAAGUGCAGAAGGAAUCAUCCUCUAAAAGACACAAAUCCAGAAGUUCGAUCGCAAAACAGUCGACGAAGGUGGUUUUUGAUAUUUUUCAAUUGUUCACUUAUUUUGAGCACACCUAUGUUCAUUUUAAUCGAUGGGUAAUGUGUAUGGAUGAAGUAUUUUGAAUUUGUAAUGUAUAUUGCAUUGAAUUUGUUUUGUGGAUUUGUAAUCGAAAUGUCUGAUUGUAGUAAGGGUUUUUAAUAUUUUUUUCAAAAGUGGUUGUUCAUUUGUGAAUUAUGGAAUGCUAUUGUGUCGUUAUGUAUGUGUGUUGUUGAUUUCUUUUUUGGUGGAGGGGAUCUGUGACCUAUAUGUUGAUGUUUGUGUCUACCUGGAUUCCCACCUGUGACCAAACUGAUGAGUUUUAUUGUGAUCGAUGUUGCAGGCCUGGAGAUACAUUAUACCCGAGAAUAGUUGGUUUCUGGGUAAAAUUACAAUUACCCCCUCAAAGGUGUGGUGUCGAACUUCAAAAACAAUCUCAAUGAAGCCCAACGUCGAAUCCUUCAGAAUACGUGUUUUUCCCACUUUCUACAAUACGAGAAAAUUGUUAUCCAAUCUCAGCUGAUACACUACUUUCUGUUGAGACAAGUGCAACAACCUAAUGAGAGUGAGUUGUGGUUCAACAUAGCUGGAAGAUUCGUACGGUUCUCAAUUUCAGAAUUUUGUUUGGUGGCUGGUCUAAGAUACGUCGGCGAUGCUGACAUAAGUAGGAUGGAGAAGACUCAAUCACGAUUGAAAAAUUUGUAUUUUUCAACGUUGAAAAAUGUCACUCAUGAAAAUAUCAAGUACGCAUUUCUUGGUUCUACUGACAUUCCGAAUGAUGAUGUUUCCAUGCUAGGUGCAUUGUAUUUUAUAACGUCUUAUCUACAUUCGAGAGACUACAAGAGGGCUAUGGAUGACUUCUUAUUUGUACUAGUUGAAGAUUUUAGUGAGAUGAAUGUGUUUCCAUAGGGUAAGUCGUUGUUCGACAAAUUAGUAAAUUCAUUGAGGGAGGGGUUGAGUAAGAGAUCAACACAUUACAGACUCAGAGGCUUGCUUGUAGCCUUUCAAGUGUGGAUUUACGAGACAAUUCCCAGUCUCGAUGGAUACAUGACGAGAAGAUUUCCAAAGUGUACCCCAGGAUAAUGAACUGGCGGCUGAUGAUCACCUUUCGACUGCGAAGCUCGAGGGACCUAAAUCCGGACGUAAGUGACCACUGAUGCAGCAGUACUGGUUUCAGAAUAUUAAACUGGCACAUUUUUUCAUGUUCCAGAUCAUAUUUCUUAGGUCACAAAUAUAUUUCGUCAAGUCACAAAUUGCAUUCUCGAAGUCACAGAUUUAUUCAUUAUGUCACACGCUUUCAGUAUAGGUAACAGACAUUUUCACGGUGCCAUCUGCCCUUGUUAUAUCACAAUUAAUGGAAACAAAUUGAAUAUGUGUGAUGUGCAAAAUUAUAUCUGUUUGUUCAUACAUAAUUUUUGGUCGUUGAUAUUGCACUUUUUGUUGUGAUAUGAAUGGCAGUUGGAAAUAUGUGACCUGGACCCCCCACCAGCUGAAAUGGCAAUGCCAUACAUGAGUCAGGUGCAGUAUGAGAAACCUAUCCUACCCGGUCAAUCACAUGGGGAGAAGAGAAAUGGUGGUAGCAUACACCGAUCAGAUCAUCGUGCUGGGACUAGUACAAAACCGAGUAAUUCAGGAAUGAAACUAUCUACUCCCAUGCUUUUGAUAACUGAUGGACAAUUAGGACACUGAUCUCUCCAUUGAUGAUGAUGACUUUGUUAAAGCACCAUCCAGUUGGAAGGGGACAUCAAUCCAUGAAAAUUCUCCAAGUGGGGAGCGUAAGUCAGAUGACACCAUUGAUUCAGAGGAAGCUCUUCCAAUUUCAUCUAUCAUGUCACAAGUCCAUUAGGUCACAUAAAAAUUCAGGUCACAUAUUCAGGUCAUAGGUUUCAGUUAUUAGGUCAUAUACCAAUACUCGUUUCAGUUAUUAGGUCAAUGUUAUAUUUCAUCAUCAUAAGUUACCUGAUUAUAGGUAUUCAUGUGAUGCAGGUGGUCAACGAAUUGAGGAAUUAUUUUAAAGGACAGAUAUCUGAUCUACAGUCUGAGAAUCGAUUGCUAAGCAUCAUCUUUAAAGUCAGAUCAGCAAAGGAAACUAAAGCGGCUAGUUCCCAUGCAAGGUGAAAUUCGUACUGACAUGUUGGACGUCAAAGCACACAUACAGUGUAUGUCUGAUUCCGUGACUACUUUGAUAUCUAGUUCAAUCGAAGAAAUUAUGAAAAAAAUCAGAGAGAACGCAGGACCAGAAACUGCUGUAGGAUCUGGACCAACAUGCGAAGUCAGUACCCCAAUUGUGACUGUUUCUUAUUUGUCUGUUACCACAAACCAUUUGAUAUACACUUCUCAUCAAAUGCAUUUUUGUUCUGAUUUUCAGGCUGCAAAAGUCGAACAAAGUGUUGAUUCGAAAGGCAAAGCGAAGGUUGACUCUGUGUGUGCAGUUGAGUUUCCAUGUUCUAUUGAACCUCCAUCUUUUGAUCUUGGUCUUGGAUUCACACAACCAAGCCAGAUUGUUGCAAAAACAUAUAAGGAAGUUGAAGUGUAAGUGGAAUUGGUCAUAUCCAAUGUUUUGAAGGACACGAAAUGUAUUGAGCAAGAGGUAUAAAAAAAUCUAUGUAUUUGUUGAUUAAUGCAUGUCACAUAUUAAAAAAUACAUUUUAUUACGCAACACUCACCUGAGGCAGCACCAAGUCCUGGAUUGCCAGUGAAGAGGGCUCCAAAGCCAGCUAAAACACUUCAGUCCCCUUAUGUUGCCGAUGAAAUGAAACAAAUAAAAUCGUCAGGAAAUAUAGUGGUCUUCGAACAUUACAAUCAGAAUGUACAAGAUGUAGAUGUUGCUGACUUUCAAAAUUAGUUUCAAAGAGGAUACAAACCACAUAACAAGUACGAAAUUGUUGUCCUAUUUUCAUAAUUUUCAAAUAAUGAUCAGUACUUCUCGUUUGCAGGAAGAAGUUCAAUGAUAAAGAUGAUGCUAUCCAUCCACCUUUUUCCAUCGAUCAGUACUUGGUGGGAAACAAGACAUGGUGGUACGAACUUGUAUCCAGGGAGGUGUCGUUGACUAGUUCGGUAAGUUACUACACAAAAGUAACAGUUCUAAAGGGUAUGUCACAGUACAGGUCACAUUAGUCACAGUUUUUUGUAUACUAGUCACAUAGAGCAUGGAUCAUAGAUCACAGAUCACACGAGUAGUAGGUCACAGAUGAUGCAUGGGUCACAGAUCACGCAAACAGUAGGUCACAGCUAAUGCCUGAGUCACAAAUCACAUGAACAGUAGGUCACAAUCCGCGCUACACAGAAAAAUACAUAUCUGCAGGUGCAACAGUAUAGCUCGCAUGUAUUUAUUACGUCCGGGUUCAGUUAUUGAAUGGUCAUUAACUAUAGGUUGUAGUGAUCACACAUUCUAACCGAGUCACACAUCAAAUUGACAGCUUAUUGCAUCAUGUUUUCUGGUGUAUAUAUGGUUUCUUAAUUGUUUAUUGUACUUUCAUCUCUGUAGCAUAUGGACGUGUGCUUCUAUUGCAUACAUCAACUGGCAAGAAGUGCGAGAGAUCUCAAGUUUGUAGCUACCACAACGGACUAGUUGUUCCAGGCCAAGCUCAAGCACAUGUAUUCUAGGUUCAAGGAUGAUGCAAAUGUUCUUUUCACGGAUGAUAGACUGAUUGACGAUAUUAUUGGUGCACGAAUUCCAUUGAGCACUCCAUGGGCUGAAGUCGACCUUGUGUUUAUCCCACUUCUGCCUACCAACAAAGCACAUUGGAUGCUUGGAGUGUUGGACAUAAAGGCACAUACGUUGCAUUUAUUGAAUUCGUCCAGGAAGACAUACAAUGUUAUCAAAGUCCGUACUGGAAUUGAACCCUUUGUCAGCAUGCUUUCGAAUCUCAUGAAAUGUGUUGGAAUAUGGAAAAAAGAUUCCAUAGAGUUGAAUGUGGAUUUUGAUUUUUCUCUUUCCCAACAGAAAAAUUGGUAAGUUUUUUUUUCCCUCCACUAACAGUUAAACAUAUUAUAACAUGCUGGAUUUCAUAACUAACAGUCUGAUUUUUGCGUUCCUAGACAUGAUUGUGUCAUUUAUGUGGUCAAGUACUCGGAGUACAUGCUACAUGACGAUAUAGGAUCCAUGCCCAUGAAGUUUGAUGCGGGGAGAGCUCGGUUGGAUGUAACUUCACUAUUGUUCAAACAUUGAGAAAUCGGGAAGACUAGAAAGUCGGUGCAGCCUACUGGUGGGAAAAGCAUUGUUUUAGAGUGAUAGUGCAAUUAGAAGUCACAUGUUGUAAUAGAUGAAAACAUUGUCUAGUGUUUUGGAAAUUCGUUUGUAAUGACAACGCGGUUCUUUCUUUUGUCUGUUUAUAUCAAAAAGUUCAUUAGUGUUUGGGGACUUUAUUACAAUGUUUUUCAGAAGUGUCACUAUAUAUCAUAUUUUGCUAUAUUGACAAUGUAUCGAGGACGAAGUCUCAAAAUUUAAUGGUUACCUGCAGCUUUUAGGAUUAUCACAGGUCACCAAUUUUUAGGAUUAUCUGCAGUUCACAGGUUACUGGUUACUGCAAUUUUGUCACAGGUCAAUUCCCAUUGUCACAAGUCACUGCACCCUUAUCACAAGUGGGUCACCGGUUACCUGCAGUUUUUAGGAUUAUCAUAGGUCACCGGUUUUUAGGAUUAUCUGCAGUUCACAUGUCACUGGUUAUUGUAAUUUGGUUACAGGUCAAUUCCCAUUGUCACAGGUCACUGGUUACCUGUAGUUUUUAGGAUUAUCUGCAGUUCACAGGCACUGGUUAUUGUAAUUUGGUCACAGGUCAAUUCUCAUUGUCACAGGUCACUGCACCCUGGUUACAGGUCAUUGUAUAUUGUUCACAGGUAUCUGUGUUAUGUUCACAGGUCAUGAAGAAUUAUCACAAGUCAAUCCAAUCUAGUCACAGGUUAUUGAAGAUUUGUUAUAGAUCAUUUCAUACUUUUAUCACAGCUAAUUGCAACUGAACCACUUCCAUUUCCUGAGUCUUUGCAAUAUGUAACUGGUCAUCUUUUGUUGGUCACAGUUUAGCUUAUAUUUGUCAAAUGUCAUUGGAUAUUGAUCGUAUGUCACUUCAUCCUGGUCACAUGUCUUGAUAAAUGGCCACAGGUCUCUGCAUAUUGGUCGCAGCUCAUUGACAUCUAGUCACAGAUCAUUUCAUAUAUUCGCAGUUGAUUGCACAGGGAUCACAGGUCACUGCAUUCUGGUCAUAGAUCAUUAUAUGUUGGUCACAAGUCACUGCAUUCUGGUCACAGAUCAUUAAUAAUGAUUAUAGUUACUGCAUUCUAGUCACAGGUUAUUGUAGAAUGAUCAGAGAUCAUUUCAUAUUGGUUACAGUUAAUUCCAUGUUGGUCACAGUUCACUGCAUGACGAUUGCAUAUCAAUUUUUCCUAUAGAUUUUCUCAUAUGUGCUAGUGGUCACACAUUCGUGCCGAACAUCCAAAGUGCAUUGCAAAAAAUCUUAGCAUUGUAUUGGUUAUGAUAUGGUCAAUAUGUGUCAUCCAAUGUUGUACAUCCUACAUUUACAAAAAAUCAAUGAAUGAAAAAAAAGAGGGAAUUAUAAAAAAUAUAUCAAUGUGUAUUUCCAGUCUUCAUUCUCUUCCUCUCUUUAUUCUUGUUGCUUUGACUCAACGGAACUAAGCUGUUACAUGUUCUACGAUUGUGAUCACUUUCACCACACCGGCCACAUUUGACGGCUAUGUUUUCCUCAUACGCUGGUCUGAAUCUCUUCUCAGUAGGCCUUCCACAACUUUGCUUUUGAUUAGGUGCAAUUACAACUAUGUUAUGGACAUCAUUUGGCACUAUCCAUUCAGCUAGAUUUCCUACAGGAAAAAUGGUUUCUUGGUAUGUAUUUCUGAAUGCUUCACUUGUGUAGUAGUAGGAGCAGUAUUCAUAUGGAUCCAUCUUCAUACUCGUAAACACAGUCAAAGCAUGUGGACCAUGUAGUUGAUUAACUUGAAGCAUCCUACAUGUGCAUGUCCGGUUUUCUAUAUCAACAACGAAAGAGGAACUUUCACCGUUAACUGAGAACAUUGCCUGAUUAUUAGGGAAAACCUACAGAUAUAGACUCAAGUUGUAGGCAUAAUAAGUCACGUAAUUAAAAAGUAGGACACAGAUGAAAUUGCAUGUCUUGUAGUUAUAUAUAAUAUUGCACAAAUACUGAAACACAACAGUACAGAUCACAGCAGAAGUCAUAGCACAUGUCACAGAUCAGUUCAGGGAAGUCACAGAUUAUAGAUUAGGUCACAGUAAUUAAGUUUAGCCUCAAGUUUCUCAUAUAUGUACCCAUUUCCCUCAUCUUCUUCUUAUACUUGCUUAACAAGGUUGUAAAAGUGCCUUUGGUGUACUCCUUGUGUCUGCAGAACCAAGAUUGUAAAAUUUAUCUCAAUGACUCCAACAAAGCUAGAAUAGGGUAGUUCUUGGCAAACUUUGCGACUGUAUUAACCGAAUCCACAAUAUUCGAUGUUAUUGUGAAAUACCGAUUUGAAGGCAUGUGGAAACGUGACCAUCUCUCAGGUCCAACUUCGUCCUACAAACAAAAACAUGGAAAUGUGUAUCAUAUAGUGUACAGUACCAUGUUAAACGUAUUUAUGUGAAUAUCAUCAUAGGACAAUGUAUAGUAUAGUACCAGAUAACCCCUUAUCUUUUCAUUAAUCGAGCCGAGUUGUUGCAUGUAAUAUUCAUAUUUCAAUAGUGUGUAGGCACGUACAGCUGCAUUGAAUGCUUUUGUUAUGUUUUGUCCUGAUCUCCCAUACCGUGAUUUUAGAUUUUGUAGUAGAUGGUACGAAUAUAUCCCAUGACAUGCUCCCGGAUACACGUUUUCAAUCUCCUUUUUAUGCUAUUGUGACGAUCCGACAUGAAGCACAAACCGUCUCUGUCCCCAUUUGCUUUCCUUAACUGUCUAAAAAACCAUGUUCAAGAGCUGUCAUUCUCAUUAUCCACAAUCCCGAAAGCAAGUACAUAAAUGCUGUUAUUUGCAUCUUGUGUACAUGCCGUGAAUAAGGUGCCAUCAUAGUGUCCAUUUAGAUAGAUGUCAUCAACCAUAACAACUGGCUUACAAUGUUUCCAUCCCCGUAUAGAUGCACCUAGUGCCAUGAAGCAAUAUUUAGACCUAUUGUGACCAUUAAUUUCUAGAUUUGUGAUUGAUCCAGGAUUUGUUUGUUGUAGCAUAGAAAAAAGGCUGGUAUCUUAUUGAAUGAAUCAGUUGGAUCACCCCUUAGCACUUUCAGAGUUUCCUCUCGAGAUCGCCAAGCUUGGACAUAAUUCAAAGAUACUCCAUAUGUAUGCAGCAUGUCGUUGCGUAUAUCAUUCAGUGUGUAUAUGGUGCGCGAUGAUGUGUACUUGUACUUAAUGCAGGUUGACACAACUGUCUUUGUUACUUGCCUAUGAGUACUGAGUACGAUGUUUGAAGCACAUAUGUGACCUUCUGCAAUGUGUCUGAUUUUAAACAUAUCUGUUCUAGCUAACUUCGAUGCUCUACAUAUCUAAUUACACUCGUCACGUGAACAUUUUACGAGAUAGUCUUUCUUAUCGGACCGAACAACCACGUACUCAAACAUGUUUUGGAUUGCAUAAAACGACAAGCUUAAUUUCAUUAUCUCCUUGUUACGGAAGACUCUUCAUUCCUCUACCUCCCUAGCGUCUGCCACAGCCACAACUGUGACCUCAUACUCAAAAUUAUCACUAGAUGGAUCCAUUAUUGCUCCAGAUAUGUCUGAUGACAUAUCUGUUAAUAAAAACCCAUGUUCGUUCGAUUGAACAUCAACUGAUAGCGCAAUAAGCUGUUUUUCGAUAUCUGCAGUUGUGACCUCGAUGUGAAUUGGAUAUUUGGCAGGGUCACAACUCAUAUCCUUUAAAACCAUGUAAGACAAGACAUUCUCGUCACUUUUGAUUGCUAUUGGAAGCAGAUCACUAUUCAAGACAUACUUCAUUGUCACAGCAACUUUUGCAGGGUCAAAGCUAAACUCUUUCAUAGCUGUGUCGACAAGCCUCAAAUACCCGCAACUACGAUCAAUUAACACCAGUGACACUUGUGAUCCAUUCAACAGACACACGUAAAUUAACCCCAUUUCUGAAAAAUUAGCAAAAACAUGAUCAGCCUAACAUCCAAUUAUAGUUACAUCUAAUUGCGUAUGGGUCAAAAUUACUUUAAUGGUCAAAUGUCACAAUAAACAUAUCUCGAUUCUCAAGUAUCAUUGUCAUGUAUUGAAUACAUGUAUGUCACAUAUUUUUAUUUCCCAGAUUUUUUUUACGAGAGGUCACAGAUCAUUGCAUAGGUCACAGUUUGGUCACAGUUAAUGGCAUGUCGGUCACAAUUCUGUUAAAUGAUCACAAGUCAAAGCAAACACAUGUCGUAUCUUGAACGUCAUGGUCACACAUUGAAUACAUGCAGGUCACAUAUACGUAUUAAAUCACAAUUACAUGCAAUAAUCAGCCACAGUAACUAAGUAUAGAUCUGUCGCAUAUAAUUAGAUUCAAAUAAGAGCAUUAGUAUCAUAAAACACAGAUGCUGUAUGUUACACGUCACACAUUUCGAGACACAAACACCCAUGCGUACUGAAUGCAUGAGGUUAUAUCUUGAAUCCAGGGUCACAUGUUUUCCAUAACGGUCACAACAGUUUCAAACAGUAAUGUUCGAUAUUCAUGAUCACAGUUCCGUCAAAAAUUACAUUUUUGAUCAAUCGAAGCUUGUCUAGCGUGAAUAAACGACAAAUUAUAAUGAAUAAAUCGCAAUUAUACACCUGAUCGAUGUAAUUACACGUCUGAAUAAUGUAAUCAGUGACUAUUCGAGACACCGUAUUUUAAUCCGACGUCAUACGACCCGCGGCUGCAAUUUGUGAUCAGAAUUCGGUUUCAUCGUCACUUUCGCAAGAGCCUGCGGUAAUUGGAUGUAUUUUCAGAUCUUCUGGCUAUUGGAAUCAGCUUGAGAGAUGAUUUAUUCUUUUUUUGGAGAAUCCUGAUUGUACAGUAUCUCAGCCUAUUUCUUCGGGAUUGUUUUCCAGAUGAAACUAUACUAAUAUUUAUAUUUAUUUUUAGGCUAAUUUCUGAUUCUUGAAAUAUGAUACUUAUUUUCUUGUUUUUGAAAUGUCCUGUACUUAAUUUCUUGUAUAGGAAAUUUUCCCUUUUUUUUUAGCUUACCAUUACCAACAGCCCAACUCAAGAGUAAACCCAAAAUCCAAUCCAAUAUAUCUGAACCCUCACCAAUCACACAUUCAAUGGCUGAUUUGUGAGAAUAGACGAUUACAAAGGCACGGUGACUUUGAAUUUUUCUCUCAGCCUCUCAUUGUCUCACUCUCAUCUUUGUGAGCCCUCGAUAUGGUGCCGCCUGCGUCACCUUUCUUUCAUCGAUGCCAUUAAUGGAAGCCAAAUCACAAUUACUUCAGUUUCAAAUUAUACCUCAAUGUCCUCCGUCGUCUCCGUAGGUUGCCACUGCUAUGGAGGUACACAUUUUGUUUAUAUUUUUUCUUUUUCUUUUAAAAUAGUUUAAGAUGGAGAAUCUGAUUUGCGGUGAGCUGUGGAGCCAGAGGGUUUUGUGCCUUCACUGUCGUGUGCUAGGUAGUGGGUGGUGAGAUUAUUUUUAGAUUUUGAUAGGAUUAGAAAAUCACGUUAUGGGAUUAUGAUUUAUUGCUCAAAUAUUGAAUGGGAUUCUGGGAAUAGGAUUUAUUGCUAACAUAUUCUAGUUCCUUUUAAAUAUUGAAUGGGAAUCCAAAAUGGGAUUAGGAUUUAGGAUUAUAUUCAAUCGAUGCUUCUAAGUCAAAAACUAAUAUAAAGAACUAGUUUAGUAAAUUUAUGUAUUUGCUUCUAAAACUUCCCACGGUUUUAAGAAAUGUUGGGUAAGUGAACGAAAAUUUCUAAUUUCCCUUUUGCUGGAACAAUAUGUAUAAUGCUUAGCCAUAUAUGCUAGUACAUAAAUUUCAUUUUUGCUACAACAAACAGAAAUAUUAUUUUUAGGUAUCAUCAGUAAACAACAAAAGAUAAAGACUGCUGCAAGUUAACAAUUACCUUAUUAAAUGGCCGAAAAUUGCAGCCCGUGCAGGAGAUAGACUCUUCCCUUAUUAAAAUACUUUUGAGGGCCACUAAAUUUAUUUUUACCAUUUACAAAUUUGGUUGUGUAAACAUGGCUUGUUAGUUGUUGGCACAAUAUUGAGAAGUAGUUGCCUUUGCUCUAUUUGGGUUAGAUAUUAUGCUACAACUCAAGCUCCCUGAUGGCCUCCCAUUUCUUGCUUACUUCUCUAUUUAAGUCGGGAUGAGACUUUUCAUGAGUUUCUUUUCUUCAUUCUAGGCUCAUAAGUUGUGAAGAAAUCAAGUUCAUUUCUUUCCCCACUUAAAUGCCUCAUGGCAGGCACGUUCUGCAAAAGUCCUGCACCUGGUGAACAACCAUUCGUGAAGGUAAUUGAUAUAAAUUUGAUGAUGGGAAAAGAAAAAAAUGAAGGUAGGAACGGAUUUGUAUUUUCAAAGUAGAUGUGUGUAUCAAUUUUUUUUUUUGUAUUUUUUGUAUACAACACAUGCUCAGAAGAAAUUAUUUUGUAAUUGGCUUUACCCCUAUUUAGACUAUUUCAAUGCUUUAUUUAUUCUUUCACGGUUCGAGGCUUCACAUCUCUCUGCGUUCGCAUCGUUACAUGGUUAUAUAAUCAUAAACUACAACCCCAUAUCUAUUGAUACCCUGAGUAGCUGCAUUUACGUGGUCAUGUUAUUCCAACAUCAUAAUUUAUUAGCUGCUAGAUGACACUAUAUCAGUGUUGACACUGUAAGUUAUCUGGUUUAAUCAUCAUUGGUUGAUGGCAUAAGUGAUAUACUAUUUUAAUCUUUCGUCACUUUAAAUGUGUCAUGAUUUUUCUUACAUUUGUCUACAGCCUCUGUUUUUUAUUGAACCAUAGAGCACGCAGAGUUAAAAGUGUGAUAUUAAGGAAUAAGAUGGUUUGUCUUACAUUUAAGGAGAGGUUUCAACAUGCUUUUUACUCACAGGGACGUGUUCUGUUGGGAAUGAGAAAUUGCAAUUGUUGAGAGCAAUGAGGGUUGGGGUAAGCAGCACGACACUAAAAUUUGGUACAAGGCCAUCUUGAAAUAUCAUUAAUUUCAAUUUGAAUUAGAAGAAGAGAAGUUAGUUAUGUUUUUCAAUAGCGUGCAUGCAUUUUUACAUUAUGUAUUCAAGUGAAUACGGCAAAUAAUGUGAUAAAUUUUUCACUAACUUAUGACUCGAUAUCUUUUUACAAGCACGUGUUAUUGAAGACAACUCUAUGUACAACUCGAUUUUUUCAUAUUAUAUCAUGCUAAAACUAAUUGUCCAUGUCACAAGAUACAAAUGGGAACUAAAGCGGCAGGUUUUGGGUAUAUAACCAAGGGACAACAUGAAGAUGGUUUAUGGAGAAUCCUCUUAAACAUUUUGGAGUUCACAGCAUUCCAAAAGUUCAACGAUUUACCAAGUCAAAGACCAAUCUCAUGAAAGGAAAUUCAAUUUCGACUAAAAUAGCAACUUACCGAACUGACCAAUGAAUUCGUUGCCAUUUUAAGCGUCAUUGAUAACGUUUUACUUUUACCAACGAAACUUCUAUUUUUAAACAUCUUUCCAUUACCAACGGAAUGUCCAUUGGUAAAAAAACUCAUUAUUUCCAACAGAAAUUCCGUUGAUAAAAGUCUUUCUUUGCCAACAAAAUUUUUGUUGGUAAAAACCUUGUAAUUGCAAGCGGAAAUUUCGUUGGUAAAAAUCUUUUCACCACCAACGGAAAUUCCAUUGGUAAAAACCUUAUAAUUGCCAAUGAAUAUUCCAUAUUAUCAACAGAAUAUUUGACCAACGAACUAUCCGUUGCUGAAAUUAUUUUCUAAUAUAGCUUCAAUACCAACAAAUGGUAUUUUUGUUGGUGAAUCUUAAUUUAUUAUUUUUUAAUGAAAAUAACUAAAAAUUUAAAAACCCACUAAUUAAUAAUCAUUAAUUUCAAAAUGCACUAAAUAAUCGAAAUUGUCAAAACACACUAAAGCUUUAAUAAAUUAAAUUAUUACAUUGAAAUUUCAAAUAUCAUGUCUUACAUAUCAUCAUUUCGUGAUCUCGAACUAAAAGGAAAUUGAAAAUUAAGAAUAUUUAGUUCCCUAAGCAUGCUUCCCACCGUUUCUUACAUCUCAACCUUGUGAUUUCUUUCAACUCAUUCAAAACGGACAAUGAAGUCAUCAAUCCUUUCGUUGUUCUCAUCUAUUAUAUUUCGUGCAAUUGUAAAUUCACACAACAUUUUUCAGAUCAUUCUUGCUUCUGACUUGAGCAUCAAAGAGCAUACCCCGAUAUAAUCAAGCAUUAAUUUGUUGAACUUCUAUUUGUUUCAUAGAUAUAUAGCUUGUCACGUGUACAACUAUUAGAAAGAAAACCCAUACACUUCCUCAUUGACCAUGCAUAUCCUCCUAGGAAGGAUGAUGUAAAGUAUGUGGCAAAUAAAGAUCUAUUCAUUGUAACGAGUUACUAAACCCGAUCUAUUUGCUCCUACAAAGACUCAUACAAUAGUAUACUAAUGCUAGUGAUUUCCUAAAUCUAUGCUCCGACAAAGGCUCAUAUGGUAAGUCUACUGAUACUAGUUAUUUCCUAACCCUUUCAUGCUUGUCUCAUAAAUUAUAACAAGUAGAAAUGUAAUUCCUCUAUCUUCAAGUAUUUAUAACUAGGGUUAGUCCUUUCCUCCAAGCACCAGCAGCUAGAAUUUCUAUUUUAGAAGUUCAUACGUUCUCACUUAUAGAUUAUGCAGUCUAUAUAAUAUACAUUCUUUAUCUUAUUCUUUAUUUUUCAACUAUCUCUAAUAACCCAAAUGGUCACUGAACUUUGCAAAAAAAAAAAAAAACUUCACAAGGUCACUGAAUAUUAAACAUCAUCCAAGUUAUCACUGAACUUUGCAAAGGUUUUACACGGGGUUAUUGAACUUUAAAAAUCACUCAAUUUAUCACUAAGCUUUGCAAAAUAAUUUCACGGGGUUACUAAACUUUGCGAAAAAUUUCCAGGGGACUUGGGAAACUUUUUUCAAAGUUUAGUAAUAAAUGGGAUAAUUUAUAAAGUUCAGUGACCUCGUUGAAACAUUUUGCAAAUUUCAGUGACCCCGUGAAAAUCUUUUGCAAAGUUCAAUAAUAAUUUGGAUUAAUUUUUAAAGUUUAGUGAUCUCGUAAAUUUUUUUUGUAAAGUUCAAUGACCAUUCGGGUUAUUAACUCUCUUGUCCUUAGUUUAUCAAUAUUUCAUGCUAGUUAUUAUGUGAAUUUCGUAACUCAACUAAAUACUGAAGUAGACAACAGAUCAGCGAGCAUGUACGAUAGAAGUACAUAUUAUUCUACCUAAUUCUACUACAGAAAGUUAAUCAUGAUGUUCUUGUUCAAUAUCUGAAGAAAUAGUAAUUUACCAUUUUGGUAAAAAUAGAAAUAAUAGCUGGUUGCUCAUUUCAAUCAAAAGAAACUAUAAAUAAGAAAAGGCCACUAAAAAGAGUGAUAUGCCUUAGGACUGGUAACAGCUAUACAUUAACAACAACCAGAAAAUCUUCCCACCGCCCUUUAAAGGGCAAGCAACAUUCUUCUCAAUAUUCAGAAUAAUUUAUAUAGUAUAAGCUUGAGUGGCAACAAGGAAGAUAUGCAAUCCGACGAACUUCUAGGAAAAAAAUUAUUCAGAAAAAGCUGAACCACAAGGUUCUUUAAGUUGUUGCCACUAACCUGCAACUUUUACAUACUUUUGAAGCUUUCAUAUAUGUACAAUAUAUUGGAAGUUGAAUCACAGAAACACCUUAUACAUUCUUUACUCUAAAUUUCAAAAGAAAAGAAACCAACAACCACAGUCCUUCAAAAGCACAUCCAUUGAGAUAAUAGAAAUCAAUAAGCAUCAACUCAUUUAACAAAAUCAAGUGCAUGGUACAAUUAAAUUGAACCACCAAAAUGUUCGUGGCCUUUGGCUAAUUAAAUAAGAAAUCAGAUAUCAAUAACUAUCAAGAUUAAGGGUGAAUGUUCACAAAUUUCAGCAUAUAAAGUGUUGGGUUUUUGAUACCCUAUAAAUUCGGGUUAUGAUAUUAACGUGGGUUAAUAUUAUUUCAUAUGUAUAAGUUGAUGAAUGAAAUAGUCCAACAACCAAGUCCAUGAGCUACACCCAGCCCAAUUGUAUUCUCCUUUAGAUGACUUGAAUCUUGUCUCGUUUACCUCUUUAAUGGUCCAACUUAAAGCCUAACCCUAGAGUAUAUAUAUGACUAUAAUCCUAGUCACUUUCUUAUGAUGUUUUGUGUGGUUUUCUAAGAAAAAUAAAUGAAUCCCGGCUGUCCCCUUUGUGUGUGAAAAAACAGCCUCUAGAAGUGUCCAAAACGCUUUUUUACUUUGUGUAAUUGGUGGUUCAUUCAUAGCAUACAUUUGUGGUGUCUUCUCCUAACCUUUGUGGUCACAAAUCAUCAUCUUUUCUUGUCCUCUGUGAGUAAGAUUGAAUAGCAACCGAGGUGAAUUAGAUUGAUUGUGGUUUGGAGCCGAUUGGAUUGGUUGUUGGUAGAGAAAUGUAUGUUGGAUUGAGUCCGAAAAUCACUGAUUUGAAGAUCAUUUGAGAGAGCUUCGACAACACUUGAUAUCACAGCUUCAAGGUGGUGGUUUUGACUUGUGAAACAUACCAAAAAGUCUAGAAAUCUUAGCAGAAAUCAGAUCGAAGAAGCUGUCCGAAAAUUAUCAAAAUCAACCUCUGUUUUUCGCGUUUUCUGAUCAAUUCAGAAGUAGUUUGGGGAAACGAAGACCACUGACGUGACGUGCAGGUGGAGAUGAACCCUGCAGGGCAGUGUGUCUCAAUGGCAACGACGCUUGAAGCCCACACGCAGAGAAAGUGAGGGAGCGUGAGCUGGAAUCUUUAGACGGUCCCUUCAGGCAGUUUGUUCCUCACAUUAUUUUUGACAUUUUUUUUUUGUAGAAAGUUUUCUGUUUUAGAGUCUGCAGUAGAAUUUGGAUAGCGUUGUUCUUCGGGCGUUUGAAAUUUGAUCGUGAUUUCUUGGUUAUUGCAGUUUCUAGAGACUUUAGAACGAAUAGUGGUAGUCCUAAAGUGUUAAAUUCACGUGUCUCAUAAUUCAUGGACUCAGAUUGAUCAGCUCUGAUAAAUUGGCUGAAACUUUUACAUUAUCGCACUAGUAGAUCAUCGUGUGGGGUGAUCAUUAGAAUUGGGGGUUGUCAUUGCUUGAAAACCAUUGCUUGUGCUAAAAAAUUUAGGAAUUAUUUGCCCUAUUUGAAGUGUUGGAUUUAAUUGCAAGUUAAUAACCGUUUCUGUGUUUAAUUUGCUACAUUGCGUGAAAAUUUGAAUUUUUGUUAAUAUACCUUCGUGUUUGCAUUAAUUAUCCUAUUAGAACACAUGGACUUGACCUGUUCAAAUAUUCCCUUGAUCUAAGAUCGUGAAUCUUACAAAACCCUAGGAAUCUAGAACAGUGUAUAUUGCGGUCAUAGGAUAACUUUGUGUGACCUAUCUGUGUUUUUGAUUGUCCUGUUUUUCUUUAAAAUAUCUUUACACUUUGAAAUUGAAAUUUUUAAUGGAAAAGGGGAUUUUUCUAUUUAGCAACAAAAUAUGAAGGGUAUUUUGGUCCAACAAAAAGUUUCAAAAGUCAUAGAUGGCAAAUUUCCUACAAAUUUAACAGAAGCACAAAAAAUAAGAGUAUGAUGAACUUGUAUACUCUUCAAUUAUUUUACACAUGUCUGACACUGUUUUGAGAAAAGUUGGAAAACUUAAUUCCACAAAAGAAUAUUGAACAAAGUUGGAGGACUUAUAUUUGCUUAAGUCCACGCCUAAUAAGCUGUACCUGAAUGUUUUUUCAGCUUUAAAAUGGAUCAUUCAAAAGAUCUUGAUGACAAUCUGGAUGUUUGUAAUAAGUUAGUUUAAGUUAUUGUUAAUUGUGAUGAAAAUGUAUUUGAAACGUAUAAGGCUAUUAUCUUGCUUAAUUCCAUACGUGAUUCAUAUAAGGAAAUUAAGAAUGCAAUUAAGUACGGUAGGGACAUCUUAAUACCCGAGAUUGUCAUAGACUCACUUAGGAGUAAGGAGAUGGAGAUUAAAGCUAAAAAAGAGGAUAAGAGGAGUGGCGAGUUACAUAUGAAUAGGAUGAAGUUUAAUCAAAUGAAUUUGGGUAAAACUCAAGAUGAUAGUGAUUCGGGUAGUGACUCGAGUGAUGAGAGUAGUAAGAAGAAGGGCAAGGGAUGAGAUAAGUCUAAUGGUAGAAGGUGUUACAGCUGUGGUAAGUCUGAGCACUUUAUUAGGGAUUAUCCCAAGCAGAAAGAUAAGCUGAAGGGUAAGAUGAGAAGUGAGGCGAAUUUGGCUUUAGGGUCAAGUGAUGACCCUAGCGAGGUUUAUUGAGUGUAAACCUAGUUACUGCAUGUGCAUCUGUGUGUGAUCCUUUCUGCAUGUGUAUGAUUGUCUAAAUCUUGUUGCAUGAUUAUCUGUUACAUUUCAAUAUGUUUGAUAUGUGCUUUGCACGAGUUUGGGGCAAUAUGAUUACUUGGUGUAAUUGUUUGCAUGCAUAGUGGGUUAGGAUGCAUUUAGCAGUGUGUUGUACGUCUUUUAGUGAGGUGAAGUAUAGAUGCCUAGGGGUAUAUUGUGUUUUGUAUUAGGGAUGUGGAGUGUGACAUUUGGAUCACGAGUAGAGAUGUGAUUAAAUUUCUAGAAUCCUUUAUCAGUAAAGAGACCCUGAUUAGGUGGAAUGUGAGAGAGAUACUUCUAUCACUUCUGUUAGGUGGAGACCCAUUAUCCACGUAGGUUGGGAGAAGUGAUGUGGAGAUAGAGGAUUAUCUCGUGGACUUAGGAUCUAUUGCGACCUACUAGUUAGAUAUGAGUUGAGUGAUUAGUCUUGUGAGCUUGGUGGGCAAUGAGAGGAGAUAUAUGUUCUCGAGGUGUAAGUAACACUGAAUGGAAUAGGACAAAUGCUGUGAGAUCUUUUCGUAGGGUCAUUUUUGCAUGUAUUGGAUAUGUGGUUGACCGUGGUUUGAUUGACUUAGUGUUAAUCUAUGGUUCCAUGUGAACGUGUUUUUGAAAAGAUCUAUGUAUAUUAUCCUAUAGUAUAUCGUCAUCGUAUGUGUAUUUAUUCUUGAUUGUUUACUAUUAAAUAUUUGCUUCUAUUUGGGUGUUUUUUUACCUUAGUCCCAGUGAGUACAUGGACCAGGUAUGAUAUGUGUUUCAGGAUGGAAACACAAUGUAAGGUCUCUGAUCCAAUUUUAUUGGCUACCUUGAUUAUGCAAGUGCUAACUGUGUGUUUUAAUUGCUAGCAGAUUUAUUGGGCAACAAGAUAAAGAUUUGUUGGGUUUUUGAAACCCAAUAAAUCUCGGGCUAUGAUGUUAACGUGGUUUAAUAUCAUUUCAUAGGCAUAGACCGAUGAAUGAAAUAAAUCCAACAACCAAAUCUAUGAGUUACACUCGGCCCAAUUGUAUUCCCUCUUCGAUAGCUUAAAUAUUGGCCCGUUUACUUCUUUAAUGGUCUAACUUAAACCCUAACCCUAGAGUAUAUAUAUAUGGCUAUAACCCUAGCCAGUUUCUUGUGAUAUUUUGUGUGGUUUUGAGAGAAAAAUAAAGGAAUCCAGGCUGCCCCCUUUGUGUGUGAAAAAACAGCCUUUAGAAGUGUCCAAAACGCUUGUUUACUUUUUAUAAUUGGUAGUUUCUUCAUAGUAUACUUUUGUAGUGUCUUCUCCUAACCUUUGUGACUGACCACAAAUCAUCAUCUUUUCUUGUUCUACGUGGUUAAGAUUGAAUAGCAACCGAGGUGAAUUAGAUUGGUAGUGGUUUGAAGCCGAUUGAAUUAGUUGUUGAUAGAAGAAGGUACGUUGGAUUGAACCUGAAAAUCAUCGAUUUGAAAAUCAUUUGAGAGAGCUUCCACAACAUAAAGCCAUCUGUGGAGAAUCCUAGAGCCACGCCAAUGGCCAACAGAGGCCAACGAACAUUAAUGGGUGAACCAUCACGCCAAGGGAAUUUCUGAAGUCAUGUUUCCAGAAAAAUAUAGUUAGUGGCAUUAGAGUUGCCAAAGUAUCAUUUCUAAUUUAAUGGAACAAUUUUUUCAUGACAAGUGUACAUGAGUAAUAAAUGGCAUUCGACUUACUUUAAUCUGCAAAAUUUAUUUAAAAAAAAAAAAAUAUUCAUUCAAAAUUUCAAAUCCAAAUCCAAAUUAGUGUCUCGACAUAGUAUUGUCUCUGGAGCAGGCUAACAGCUUUUCUCUUUGAGCGUGUUUGAGUAGUAUGAAGACUUGUUGAAAUAAGUGAAUGAUGAUCUUCAAAUUCUUUGAUUUAUAUUUGUUCAUUAGUACUGUUUAAUCUCUACAAGCAGAAAAAUUCGACUUGAGCAAGACUUUAUCCAAGUUCGAGUUUAGGUCAUGUUCACUUUAAACCUACAACAAACCACCUAAGUCUAUCUUUUCUCAAUAUUUAAUGUUGAUUCUUCUUAACGAAGUGUGCUCCUUUUGAGGGAUUCUAAUGUAGUCUUGGUUUGUAGAUGACAACUGUCAUAUUCUCGCUAGUCUCCGUGGCCUAUUGUCGGCCCUCUUUCCAUGUAAUCACAUUUCACCCUUAAAACUUUUGUGUAUUACAUUCACGACCGACACAAUUUUAUUAGCAAGUCUAGUAAAUUUUACCAUAAUGAGUUUUUGGUAUGUACUCUGGAAAAUAUUUUUGAAAUAAGCAUAUCAUAGAUUUAAAGGAAUUCAAGUUCUUAUCAAUACUAUUUUAUGACCAAACAAAAAGUUUACUUAACGGUACUUAGUAUGGAUUCUUGAAUGAUGGAAGAGUUCCAAUUUAGCUAGUAAUUAUGUGUACGUGUUCAAUAAUGAGACUUUUAGUACUAAUUUUAUUGUUGCAGUUUCUUUAACCCUUUGUCAUCUUAAAUUAAAGCAAGUUCACUGGGAAAAAAAAAUACCUAUAUUUGACACUCGUUUAGAAAAAUGAAAUGAUCACUCUACUAGAGAAGUUAGAGAAGACUUGAUGUCGACAUCCAUGGAAAUAUUGUUUGUACUACUCAAACAAAACCCAAAGAAAGAAAUAGGAGCUUUUUUCCUAACGAAUUGGCAAUACAACGUUAAAACACUUACUUGAAUUUGGAUCUCACUAAAAAUUCUUAUAUUGUCGACUUGAGAAAGGGCACCAAUAAUACAAAAUGCCAUUUAUGAUGGUGGUACUAAAGUUGGUUUAGAGGCCAGCAAAUAAUUAAUCCCGCAGCCAUGCAAUAAAAAGACUUGCGUACACUUGGCUUGACAACAGUGAAACAUUAAUCUAGAAACUGAAAAUGGGGCGCGCUCUAAUGCCACUGAACUGCAUUUUUGUUGAAAAUUUAGCACGAAUUCUUGAAACGUAAGCAAGAAUUAUUACAGCAUUAAAUUGAACCCAACUAACAACCAUCCAUAAUCCAAUCAAUAAGUGUCACAUUCUUCCCUGACACUGGAGCUCUCUUCUAUAUAAACACCAUAAUUGGCAAGGUAUUUUACACACAAAUCAAAAUAUUGUUCAAGUGCUAGAAAGAACUGAUUUUUCCUUGUAUUUCAUAUUAUCUUUUGCAAUGGCUUCCUCUAGAGUUGUGAAAGCAAUGUGCUUGGUGCUGAUCGCCGUUUUCCUGCCGGCACCACUGGCUGAGGCGGCAAUCACAUGCGGCACGGUUGUGAGUAGCCUGGGACCAUGCCUCCCCUAUGUGCGGGGUAACAGUCCUAUAGUGCCGGCUGGCUGCUGCAAUGGAAUUAAUUCUCUCUACGUCUCAGCCAAAACCACACCGGACCGCCAAUCCGUGUGCUCCUGCCUGAAAUCUCUCGCUGGAACUUACAAGGGUAUCGACAUUGGCAAGGCCGGUGGCCUCCCUGGAAAAUGUGGUGUCAAUAUCCCCUACAAGAUCGCCCCUUCCACUGAUUGCUCCAAGUAUUUUUCUCUCUUAUAUUUAAGUUCAAUCAUUUCAUUUAAAAAAACUUAAAAUUUUUAAUUCAUAUUUGUUACGUUACAUGGUACUUGAUACGACUUCAUAGUAAUAUAAACAAGAUUUUAACUUCUUUUCCUUAUUUAAUAAAGUCAAUUGUUGAUGUUCAACAAAAAAAUUAAAAAUUAAGAAAAAAAACUUCAUGUUCUGUCUAACUAGACAAUUAUUUAUUUGUAGCUUAAAACGUUUAUUUGUGUGAUGGAAAUUGUGGUGCAGGGUGCAGUAAUUUCAUCGCGAAUGGAGUUUCCUGCAGCGGCUUAUAUAUCAUAUGUAUGUUUAUGAACUAUAUGAAU